rnacentral:rRNA from 1 species
UACGUAGGGGGCAAGCGUUGUCCGGAAUCAUUGGGCGUAAAGAGCGCGUAGGCGGUCCGAUAAGUCGGCUGUGAAAGUCAGGGGCUCAACCCUUGAAAGCCGGCCGAUACUGUCGGACUAGAGUUCGGAAGAGGCGAGUGGAAUUCCUGGUGUAGCGGUGAAAUGCGCAGAUAUCAGGAGGAACACCAGUGGCGAAGGCGCCGCUCUGGGCCGUGACUGACGUGAGGAGCGAAAGCGUGGGUAGCAAACAGG